rnacentral:rRNA from 1 species
UUGGGUUUAAAGGGUCUGUAGGCGGGCUAUUAAGUCAGGGGUGAAAUCUUACAGCUUAACUGUGAAAUUGCCUUUGAUACUGGUAGUCUUGAAUAUUUGUGAAGUUUUUGGAAUGUGUAGUGUAGCGGUGAAAUGCUUAGAUAUUACACAGAACACCGAUUGCGAAGGCAGGAGACUAACAAAUGAUUGACGCUGAGAGACGAGAGCGUGGGGAGCGAACAGGAUUAGAUACCCUGGUAGUCCACGCUGUAAACGAUGGAUACUAGCUGUUUGGCGUAAGCUGAGUGGCUAAGCGAAAGUGAUAAGUAUCCCACCUGGGGAGUACGCACGCAAGUGUGAAACUCAAAGGAAUUGACGGGGGCCCGCACAAGCGGUGGAGCAUGUGGUUUAAUUCGAUGAUACGCGAGGAACCUUACCAAGGUUUAAAUGGGAACUGACGUACUUAGAGAUAGGUAUUUCUUCGGACAGUUUUCAAGGUGCUGCAUGGUUGUCGUCAGCUCGUGUCGUGAG